rnacentral:rRNA from 1 species
GCAAGGAAUAUUGUGCAAUGGGCGAAAGCCUGACACAGCGACGCCGCGUGAGGGAUGAAGACCUUCGGGUUGUAAACCUCUUUUGCCAGGGACGAAUAAUGACGGUACCUGGCGAAUAAGUCUCGGCCAACUACGUGCCAGCAGCCGCGGUAAUACGUAGGAGGCAAGCGUUAUCCGGAUUUAUUGGGCGUACAGAGAGUGUAGGCGGUUCGUCAAGUCGAACGUAAAAUCUUCCGGCUUAACUGGAAGGGAUCAUUCGAUACUGACGGACUGGAGUGCCGUAGAGGAAAGCGGAAUUCCCGGUGUAGUGGUGAAAUGCGUAGAUAUCGGGAGGAACACCAGUGGCGAAGGCGGCUUUCUAGGCGGCUACUGACGCUGAGGCUCGAAAGCGUGGGGAGCGAACAGGAUUAGAAACCCCAGUAGUCC